rnacentral:tRNA from 1 species
GGGGUUGUAGCUCAGUGGUAGAGCACUUGCCUAGCAUGCAUGAGGCACUAGGUUUGAUCCCCAGCACCA